GGAAAGGUAUUUAAUAAUCACACACAGCUGUGUUGUGGUCCGACCCAUAACAAGACGAUCCUGACGAGAUAUUCCUGUGACCACCUGUGCUGUGGAAAUAACCAGUUUGACUCUAAAACUGAGUGCUGCUGUUUGAUACAGAACGCUCUGAAGACACAACCCAUCAGUUCCAGCUGCUGCGUGAAGGAGUCAGGUCGAUGUGAUGAGGCCCCUCCUGUGUAUAACCCACAUACGCAUAUCUGCUGUGUUGGCUGUGUAUCCGAGCGGAAGUCUGAGUGGAAACCUUGGAUAGAUCAAUUUUAUGUCUCACAUGGACAACACUACUGCGGGACAGAACUCUAUUGGCCUCACACCCAGAUCUGCUGCAAUGGACACAGACAUCACAAAAAGGAAAACACCCACUGCUGUGGGGUAAAAGCCUACAACAUUAAAGACCCGCGGAUGAAGUGCUGUGCAUGGGCACUACACACCCUGACUAUUGGACAUGAAGGGCAGUGCUGUGGAUCCAUUCUGCAAACCUCAAUGAAUGUUUGCUGCUCGAGUGAGGACGAGGAGGUGCUCUACUCUGCAAAGACAGGAUACCGAUGCUGUGGUCACCGCUACUACAACCCCUCACUGUGGUCCUGCUGUGCAGGGAAGCUGAGUCCAGUACAGCAACCACGACAGAAUGAGAGCGAGAGGGUUAAAGGUCAGUUUUGCGGCGCUUGUCUAACAGAAAAAUAUCUGAUCUUUGUCAUUUUAACUUGAUGUGUAUUCCAGUGUAUAAUAUCAAUAAUAUGUGUGUAUAAUGUCCUUUUUCAGAAUCCAUCCUUCUGUCAGUUAACAAUCUGAAUGAAACAAAUCUUUGCGACGAAAGUAAGAUAUCGGUUUAUAGUUUUGAUUGUUUCUUAACUUCAGAAGAAAUGCUGCAAUUUGUAAAUGUGUGUGUUUCUGUCCCCGUUUAGUGCGAAUCGGAACUUUGGAAAGUGUGUCUCCGCACAGCAUCAUGUUCGGCAACGUGCUGAAAAUCCAUGGAAGAAAUGGCAUCGUCACACAUAUGGCCUCACCUCAAAUCCUGAAAACACCUGAUCGCUGCAGCUUCCCUAAACUGAUCCCUGGGAACAACUACUUAUUUGAUGAAGUUAAUGUUUUUGCUGAUUUCCAACAUAACUCUAUUCUCCAGUCGCUCCAUUUCAUUAUUUCCAAGUGUCAUCGUCCUUAGGUCACCACUGUUACCUGUUACCAAAGCAGCGUGCAACGGUUCACUUGCUAAAUAUGCUAUUUAUACCUUUGUUAAACUUGUCUGUUAUCUACUAUCUUGCCUGCAGUAACGAAAAUGAGCUGUUAUCCACGUUUUGUGCAGAGGAUUAGCAUUAGACACUGUUGCCUAUUAUGGUCUUGAACAGAACUUGAUUUGCUCAUGAUUCCAUCUCAACUUGAUCUCAACUGCUUUUGAACUUGGACUCGAUCAAGUUCAAUUGAAUAGAUCCCUCAUCUAAUGUGUUUUUGCUUUCAGAGUAUUAUGCUAGUCUUUGUUAUUUUAUACUUACAUAUUUAAAUGAUAUAAUAAAUGACAAAUGUUUGCACACAUGUUUUUCCCUCAAAAUAAAUGACAGGAUUUAUCAUCCAAAAUAUCUGGAAUAGAUAUAUAUAAUAUAUAAUAAGACCUGUGAGUGCUUUAAGUGUUAUGUAUUUAUCUGAAUAAAC
rnacentral:lncRNA from 1 species